rnacentral:lncRNA from 1 species
GACCGUUAAACAGAAGACUUAAUGAUCUAAAUAAUUCAAAUGAGGUGGAUAAACAUGAUUUUUUUUUCACUUGAGAACCUAUAUUAUGCUUUUUGUUAGCCGUAAACAAUUGAGCAUUGUGUUGUAUAAGUGUGUUUUUUUGUUCCCAUAAAAUGUGCAUAAUUAUGUAUUGGUGUAACAUUUAUCUGAUGUUGCAUAUCAACAUAUGUUACAUAUUAUAUAUUUAUGUGUUUACUCGAUGAAUAAUGACAUGCCAGUGUGUGAAAAUAUGUAGUAUUGCGUACGUGUUGUGAUAGGAACUCAUGAUGCGUUGUGUAUGUUUUUGUGCAAGGGACUCAUGAUGUAUUAUUUUGAUGAUUUUUGCAUUGCGGUCCUACUUCCUAGCAGCAAUAUUUUCUCCAUAUGACUCCAUGGACACUGGAGUAUAUCUGGUUUGGACAU